CAUAAAUAUUUGCGGCCCACACCCAAAAUGGAUAUGCGCGACGAGCUGGUUUCAAUUGUAAUUUUGACCAUCUUUCAGUCCGAAUUCGAAAAAACUUGAAAUAUUCUCAUUUGAAUUGUGUUUUCAAUCAAAAUUUGACUAAGCUAUAUUAAAAAUCGAAUAAGAGAGUAAUGCAUUCUUGAAUAAAUACUAACCCAGUCCACAAUGAGUCGACUUCAAACGUGAUUUCGAGUUUCCACCCGUAUUUUAGGAGUAAGAGUACAAAAAUUGAGAAAAAAUAAUAUAAUAAGUACAUUAAUAACUAAAUUUCUAAAAUAAUAGAUAAUAUAUAAAAAAA
rnacentral:lncRNA from 1 species